rnacentral:rRNA from 1 species
UAGGUCGACCCGCUGAACUUAAGCAUAUCAAUAAGCGGAGGAAAAGAAACCAACCGGGAUUCCCUUAGUAACGGCGAGCGAAGUGGGAACCGGUGCCCAGGUCUGAAAUCUCUGUCCCGACCUUGAGGGGCGGCGAAUUGUGGUCUGGAGAGACGGACUGUUCCGAUUGUCACCGCUCCUCGGCCCAAAGUCGACUUGGAAUGGCGCGCCGUAGAGGGUGAGAGCCCCGUAGGGCACGGAAAUGGGAAGCGGCGGGACGAGGGUCCGUUCUCGUAGAGUCGGGUUGUUUGGGAGUGCAGCCCAAAUCGGGUGGUAGACUCCAUCCAAGGCUGAAUACAAGCGUGGGUCCGAUAGCGGACAAGUACC